rnacentral:rRNA from 1 species
ACGGGAGGCAGCAGUGGGGAAUAUUGCACAAUGGGCGAAAGCCUGAUGCAGCGACGCCGCGUGAGUGAUGAAGUAUCUCGGUAUGUAAAACUCUAUCAGCAGGGAAGAAAAAUGACGGUACCUGACUAAGAAGCACCGGCUAAAUACGUGCCAGCAGCCGCGGUAAUACGUAUGGUGCAAGCGUUAUCCGGAUUUACUGGGUGUAAAGGGAGCGCAGGCGGAAGGCUAAGUCUGAUGUGAAAGCCCACGGCUCAACCGUGGUACUGCAUUGGAAACUGGUCAUCUAGAGUGUCGGAGGGGUAAGCGGAAUUCCUAGUGUAGCGGUGAAAUGCGUAGAUAUUAGGAGGAACACCAGUGGCGAAGGCGGCUUACUGGACGAUGACUGACGCUGAGGCUCGAAAGCGUGGGGAGCAAACAGGAUUAGAUACCCUGGUA